GGAAUAUCGGACAAUGGGGGCAACCCUGAUCCAGCCAUGCCGCGUGUGUGAAGAAGGCUUUCGGGUUGUAAAGCACUUUCAGUGAGGAGGAAAAUUUGUCGGUUAAUACCCGGCAACCUUGACGUUACUCACAGAAGCAGCACCGGCUAACUCCGUGCCAGCAGCCGCGGUAAGACGGAGGGUGCAAGCGGUAAUCGGAAUUACUGGGCGUAAAGCGCGCGUAGGUGGUUUGAUAAGCGAGAUGUGAAAGCCCCGGGCUCAACCUGGGAACGGCAUUUCGAACUGUCAGGCUAGAGUAUGGUAGAGGAGUGUGGAAUUUCCUGUGUAGCGGUGAAAUGCGUAGAUAUAGGAAGGAACACCAGUGGCGAAGGCGGCACUCUGGACCAAUACUGACACUGAGGUGCGAAAGCGUGGGGAGCA
rnacentral:rRNA from 1 species